rnacentral:tRNA from 1 species
GGCUCGUUGGUCAAGAGGUUAAGACACAGCCCUUUCACGGCUGUAACGGGGGUUCAAUUCCCCCACGAGUCA